GAUGAAGAACGUAGCGAAAUGCGAUACGUAAUGUGAAUUGCAGAAUUCAGUGAAUCAUCGAAUCUUUGAACGCAUAUUGCGCUCUCUGGUAUUCCGGAGAGCAUGCUUGUUUGAGUAUCAGUAAACACCUCAACUUCCAUAUCUUUUUUGAAAUGGGAGUUGGACUUGAGUGAUCCCAACGCUUUUCCUCACCGAAAAGUGGCGGGUUACUUGAAAUGCAGGUGCAGCUGGACUUUUCUCUGAGCUAUAAGCAUAUCUAUUUAGUCUGCCUAAAAAACAGAUUAUUACCUUUGCUGCAGCUAACAUAAAGGAGAUUAGUUCUUGUGCUGACUGAUGCAGGAAUCACAAAGACAGGCUUCGGCCGACUUUGUAAACUCGAUCUCAAAUCAAGUAAGACUACCCGCUGAACUUAAGCAUAUCAAUAAGCGGAGGA
rnacentral:misc_RNA from 1 species